GGUACAUUUCCCAAAAUGGUCUUCUCUGUCUGGUCCUGGAUUAAGUUUGCCACAAGAAAAAUUUGUAUGUUUUGGAGAAGGGAAGUGAAACAGCAGCCAUGUUUUUAUAUUCUGAAAGUGGGUGUAGGUUGGCACUCUUGCGGCUCCUACACAUUCUCACUGACCUGCUGGCUCCCCUUGUGGGCAGGGAGCCGCAGCCACCCCGCAGCUCCUCCAGCUCCUGUUGGAAACCUUCCACCUUCUGCAGCUCCAGAGCCAGGACAGCACCAGCUUCUCCUGCAAGUCACUCACGUCCUCGUGUUUGGAGACAGUUAGAGACUGACAUGGGUUCCAGCUGGUCUUUCUCUUACCACGGUAUGUCUAACCUUCCUUCCCAACUGCUGGCCCUGAUUACCUCAGGCUCAACACCAGAUACAGAGGUACAACUGUGCUGCCGCAGAAGAAUAGAACCAAGCCAGGACAACACUCUCUACACAAUGGGGCUUUCCAGAAAGACAGAAAAGGCAUUACUGACGUACCUGGAUGCAAGAAAGCCAAGAACUCCAGAUGCUCCUCUCACGAAUGUUGCCUUUCAAAACUCUGACUUUAACGGUAACUCACUCCCCAAGGGCAAAGAUGUUAUGCGGCACAUUUUCCACUCAUCACCCGGAGAGAGAGAAUAAGAAAGCAAAUGCCCCAGAGUUCAUUAGCUGUAUAAUUAACCACAUUGCAUUUUCAACUCAAGGUCCUGGAGCAAUGCACAAGGAAAUCAGCCGACAAAACAGCCCAGCAACAACGGGGCAGCCCUGUGAGCCCAGGAGACGGCGGGCCUGUGUACCUCUGAGACAGCCCGGCUUCAUCCGCCCUUCCCCAGACUCCUCCUAGCUUUGAUUUCAGACUGCCAGGGAGCUAUGGUGCUGUGAAAACUCCAGCCCAGGUUUUGUGCCGUUUCUCGUGCAAGCUUGGAUGGGUAGCUUAGAAAAAUCUCUUCUGCUCCAGGUAGAAAACCAGCCAUGAUGAAUUAGUUCAAUACGC
rnacentral:lncRNA from 1 species